AACCACCCUGUAUUGUUUCUCUUGAGGAAAACUUACCAUGAUAUUCCUACAUUGUGUCUCUGGUGGUUAUUAAUGAGUUUGUGCCACCUUGUAGCCUACUUUUAAAUAUCACUUUUCUUAGUGCGUUUGUUAUUUUACGUAUGCUGACGCACCUACAUUUCUGCUGCGACGUGUAUCUUAAAUAUUUUUAUACGCUUGAAUUAGGCUAGAUGUGGAGUCUUACCGGAGAUUUGAGUCAGCGGAGCGGUGCCUGUGCUGUACCCCUUCUCUGCGUACACCUGCCGGGUAUCGGCGCAGCUCCUCCCCGAAGAAGCCACGGCGCUCCGGGUCCCGGACAGUGCACAGACCGCGCAGAGCAG